UAAGAAACUCAGCAAAAUAGCCCCGUAACUUCAGGAAAAGAGGUGCCUCCUUAUAAAGGGAGUCAUAGUGACUAGGCCCGGGUGGCUUUUUACUAAAAACACAUGUCUCCAUAAAGUCGUAAAACCAUGUAUGGGGGCUGACGCCUGCCCAGUGCCGGAAGGUCAAAAAAGUUGGUGACCUGAUAAAGAGCCGGCAACCGAAGACUGGUAAAUAGUGGCCAUAACUAUAACGGUCCUAAAAUAGCGAAAUUUUUUAUUAGGUAAGUUCCGACCCGCAUGAAAGGCAAAAAAAUACAAGUCUCA
rnacentral:ncRNA from 1 species